UUGAUACGAAGUAUUCCGGCGAUCCCCAUGAUCCGAGUCCGAGCUGUUGAAAUUGGAAUAGGUUCGGCAGCGGAUCACGAA
rnacentral:tRNA from 1 species